rnacentral:lncRNA from 1 species
AUUUUCCUUGUAACAAGGAUUUAUUAGUGAAUUCUCCGAAGUACUCCAUACAUCUGUCUGUGGUUGUAGGAAAUGAACAAGGGGGCAGAGUGCAAAGACCCAAACUCACGCACACGCGCUUCUCCCCCGCUCCCACCCGCCUUCAAACUUCAUUCCCAACUUCCCUGGGCUGUUUCAGGGACCGGUGAUUGCAAGAGCUUGGGCUCCCUCUACUAGCUUGCCCCACCCCCACCCCACCCCCCUUGCUCAGUUAUUCUGCAUGCGGGGUCGCUCUCUCCAUCGUCAGCUUUGAAAACUUACUGUGGUUUGGGGAGGGGUGCUGGUUUUAUUUUCCUGAACAUUUGCUUGAAAUAUUUUGUUAGGGCUUCAAAGACAAGACCUGUCUUUAUUUUUUAUAUAUUCUUGAUAACUAUGAUAUAUUUAUUAAUAACCAGUGUUUCUGGAUGAGAUUUCAAAUAAAAAAGAAUCUUUAAAUCCUG